rnacentral:rRNA from 1 species
GUGCCAGCAGCCGCGGUAAGACAUAAGGGGCAAGUGUUAUCCGGAAUUAUUGGGCGUAAAGGGUGCGUAGGCGGCAGAGUAAGUCAGUGGUGUAAUGGCAACGCUUAACGUUGUCAGGCUAUUGAAACUGCUUUGCUAGAGUUGGAUAGAGGCGAGUGGAAUUCCAUGUGUAGCGGUAAAAUGCGUAAAUAUAUGGAGGAACACCAGAGGCGUAGGCGGCUCGCUGGGUCUUAACUGACGCUGAGGCACGAAAGCGUGGGGAGCAAACAGGAUUAGAAACCCCCGUAGUCC